rnacentral:rRNA from 1 species
UUUUACAAAAUGACUGAUCAAUACUGUGAGAACGAAAGUUCUUGCUUUAAACUAGAUAACAACUUUCAGCAGUGGAUGUCUAGGCUCGCACAUCGAUGAAGAACGCUGCGAACUGCGAUACGUAAUGCGAAUUGCAGAAUUCAGUGAGUCAUCGAAAUUUUGAACGCAUAUUGCACUUUCGGGUUAGACCUGGAAGUAUGUCUGUAUCAGUGUCCGUACAUCAAACUUGCCUCUCUUUUUUCUGUGUAGUCAGGAUUGGAGACGUGCAGAUGUGAAGUGUCUCGCGCACUUGCGUCUUCGGACGACAAGCUGUCGAGUCCUUUUAAAACGACACGAUCUUUCUAUUGUUUCUGUGAAGCGUAUUGCUCGAACGCGGUGAUUUUCGGAUCGCUCGCAGUCGUCGGCGACUUCGGUGAGAACAUAAAGGAGGAAACCUCAAUUCGCGGUAUGUUCGGCUUCGGCUCGACAAUGUUGCUUAUUGUGUGUGGAAUCUGUUUUCGCCUUGAGGUGUACUGAUGGUUGUGUGCUUGAACUGGGAGUUGGUGUGUAGUAGAGYGGUGCAGCAUGCAUGGUUACGCCUUUUAUAUAGAGAGAUGUCUAUUUGGGAAAG